rnacentral:rRNA from 1 species
GACGAACGCUGGCGGCGUGCUUAACACAUGCAAGUCGAACGGUGAAGCGCCUUCCUUUUUGGUGGGUGUGGAUGAGUGGCGAACGGGUGAGUAACACGUGAGUAACCUGCCCCCUUCUUCUGGAUAACCGCAUGAAAGUGUGGCUAAUACGGGAUAUUCUGGGUCUGUCGCAUGAUGGGUCUGGGAAAGAUAUUGUUUCGGUGGGGGAUGGGCUCGCGGCCUAUCAGCUUGUUGGUGGGGUGAUGGCCUACCAAGGCGGUGACGGGUAGCCGGCCUGAGAGGGUGGACGGGCACACUGGGACUGAGACACGGCCCGGACUCCUACGGGAGGCAGCAGUGGGGAAUAUUGCACAAUGGGCGCAAGCCUGAUGCAGCGACGCCGCGUGAGGGAUGGAGGCCUUCGGGUUGUGAACCUCUUUCGCCAGUGAAGCAGGCCUGCCUCGUUUGUGGGUGGGUUGACGGUAGCUGGAGAAGAAGCGCCGGCUAACUACGUG